rnacentral:tRNA from 1 species
GGCCGCCUGGCGAAAUGGCAUCGCGUUUGACUACGACACAGUAAUCAAGAGAUUGCAGGUUCGACCCCUGCGGUGGUCA